GGCUUAGAGUUUGAUCAUGGCUCAGGAUGAACGCUGGCGGCGUGCCUAACACAUGCAAGUCGAGCGAAGCACUUUGCUUUGAAUCUUUCGGGAGGACGAGUGAUUUGACUGAGCGGCGGACGGGUGAGUAACGCGUGGGCAACCUGCCUCACACAGGGGGAUAACAGUUAGAAAUGACUGCUAAUACCGCAUAAGGCCACAGCAUCGCAUGGUGCAGGGGUAAAAACUCCGGUGGUGUGAGAUGGGCCCGCGUCUGAUUAGGUAGUUGGUGAGGUAACGGCUCACCAAGCCGACGAUCAGUAGCCGACCUGAGAGGGUGACCGGCCACAUUGGGACUGAGACACGGCCCAAACUCCUACGGGAGGCAGCAGUGGGGAAUAUUGCACAAUGGGGGAAACCCUGAUGCAGCGACGCCGCGUGAGCGAUGAAGUAUUUCGGUAUGUAAAGCUCUAUCAGCAGGGAAGAAACUGACGGUACCUGACUAAGAAGCACCGGCUAAAUACGUGCCAGCAGCCGCGGUAAUACGUAUGGUGCAAGCGUUAUCCGGAUUUACUGGGUGUAAAGGGAGCGUAGACGGACUUGCAUGUCUGAAGUGAAAGCCCGGGGCUCAACCCCGGGACUGCUUUGGAAACUGUAGGUCUAGAGUGCUGGAGAGGUAAGUG
rnacentral:rRNA from 1 species